CCCAGACUCCUACGGGAGGCAGCAGUGGGGGAUAUUGCACAAUGGGGGGAACCCUGAUGCAGCGACGCCGCGUGGGUGAAGGAGCGUUUCGGCGCGUAAAGCCCUCUCGGCAGGGAAGAAGGAGGACGGUACCUGACUAAGAAGCCCCGGCUAACUACGUGCCAGCAGCCGCGGUAAUACGUAGGGGGCAAGCGUUAUCCGGAUUUACUGGGUGUAAAGGGGGCGCAGACGGCAGCGCAAGCCAGGAGUGAAAGCCCGGGGCCCAACCCCGGGACUGCUCUUGGAACUGCGCGGCUGGAGUGCAGGAGGGGCAGGCGGAAUUCCUGGUGUAGCGGUGAAAUGCGUAGAUAUCAGGAGGAACACCGGUGGCGAAGGCGGCCUGCUGGACUGCGACUGACGUUGAGGCCCGAAAGCGUGGGGAGCAAACAGGAUUAGAUACCCCGGUAAA
rnacentral:rRNA from 1 species